GAUGAACGCUGGCGGCGUGCCUAAUACAUGCAAGUCGAGCGAACGGACGAGAAGUUUGCUUCUCUGAUGUUAGCGGCGGACGGGUGAGUAACACGUGGAUAACCUACCUAUAAGACUGGGAUAACUUCGGGACACCGGAGCUAAUACCGGAUAAUAUUUUGAACCGCAUGGUUCAAAAGUGAAAGACGGUCUUGCUGUCACUUAUAGAUGGAUCCGCGCUGCAUUAGCUAGUUGGUAAGGUAACGGCUUACCAAGGCAACGAUGCAUAGCCGACCUGAGAGGGUGAUCGGCCACACUGGAACUGAGACACGGUCCAGACUCCUACGGGAGGCAGCAGUAGGGAAUCUUCCGCAAUGGGCGAAAGCCUGACGGAGCAACGCCGCGUGAGUGAUGAAGGUCUUCGGAUCGUAAAACUCUGUUAUUAGGGAAGAACAUAUGUGUAAGUAACUGUGCACAUCGUGACGGUACCUAAUCAGAAAGCCACGGCUAACUACGUG
rnacentral:rRNA from 1 species